rnacentral:lncRNA from 1 species
UGCAGACAUGAUGAAAUUGCUUCAUUCCUGGAGUCUGCGGCUAUUACUGGGUGGCUUCAGAGGCUCCCUGGAGUUUGUGCUCUGUUUCUGGCUGCCCUGGAUUCUGGCUGGAUCAGUCCUAACUCACUGUGAACCAGGCUCUGGCGUAGCUGAGUAGUUACUGGACAGGGAUAUGGCAAGUUCUGGUGGGCCCUGGUGAGAGCAGUAACUGGUGACCUGUAGAAGGGUAUUGGGACCCUAGCCCAGGCUCACCAAAGGGAACCCAGCCAUGGCUGUCAGCACACCCUGGUUCCUGGGAUCCACAAUGUGAUGUUUGGGUAUGAGGUGUGUGGCUGGGCUGAGGCUGGUGGCAGACAGGACCGGCAGUGGUGCCCUGUGCUACAAGGGGCGGGUGCUGGCCCCUCACAUUGCUCCCAGGGCCUCGUUUCUCUGUCUACGCUUAAGUGUAUUUCUCCCUGGGCAGUAACCGCUGGCUUCACCUGGACUGUCAGUAAGAAUCAUUUUCCCUGUUCGGAGGAGCAGGAUUACGUGGAAGGUGAGUUCUAGGAGCAGCGUGAGAAGGCUGGCC